ACAUAAUUCAAUGUGAGCAGAGAGUAUAAAUUUAUUUUUAGAUUUAGAUUAUCAAAGAGCAAAAGAGCCAUAACAAGCCGACGACGAUCGGUUACAUGCGAUCAUCGGAUUUAGUGAUAUAUUUUGUCUCACUCUAUCGAUCCGCCAUGGGAUGAAAUUUGGAUCAAGACAUUAGCUUCUGGUAAAUCAAAAGAAGUAUCUGCUACCUUGCUCACGAAUAUCGUAUUUACUUUUGUAUUAAAUUUAAAGUUUUGCAAGAUGUGUAUUCUUUCGCUCUAAAAGUAUAAAUGAUACAAAUCGUGAAAAAAAAGAUCUUUAAGUUAUCGUUACUGCGCACAAUGCUUACAACCUCUAUACUUACCUGAAUAGUUGGACCAUAAAUAUACGGCUUAUUCAUUUUAACGGCAUAGUGUUUUAAUGCAAACACAUUAUCAGAAAAGACAAUUGUUUUAUCGCCACGUCUUUCGUGAUAUCGUAUUAAAUAUUGGCAACAACGAAACUUAUUUGGAUUCAUCACGUACAACAACUGAAAUUAUAAAGAGAUUUAUAAUAUAUGUAUAAAAUUAUAAAAGUUGUGUGUAUACAUGUAAUAAUAACAAUAAAUUCCUUCUAACCAGUUUUUU